UACGAAGGGGGCUAGCGUUGUUCGGAAUUACUGGGCGUAAAGCGCACGUAGGCGGAUAUUUAAGUCAGGGGUGAAAUCCCGGGGCUCAACCCCGGAACUGCCUUUGAUACUGGGUAUCUCGAGUCCGAGAGAGGUGAGUGGAAUUCCGAGUGUAGAGGUGUAAAUUCGUAGAUAUUCGGAGGAACACCAGUGGCGAAGGCGGCUCACUGGCUCGGUACUGACGCUGAGGUGCGAAAGCGUGGGAGCAAACAGG
rnacentral:rRNA from 1 species